UAAAUUGAAGAGGAAGAAAUCAAAAUCCUAGGAUAAUUUCUUAUUUUUUCCACAGUACCAGAUUACCUCUUGAAAAAAAAAUCUGUAAGAAGGAGGAAGAUGGCAUAAAAAUUGGAAUCCAUCCUGCAGAUGAUGCAUUUUAUUCUCAACUUAAAGAUUUUCAUGCCUGGACUACCUGCAUCCUAGAGGAACAGCUUAAAAGACUACUUCUCCGUGACAAAUGUGUUUGAAUGCUCUGCCGUUCUGUACCGAAAACUUCAGAAAUGGCCAUGUCGUGUUGGAAUUGCUGCCUCAU
rnacentral:lncRNA from 1 species